AACAACCUUAUUGACUGGAAGGAAAUCCUUCCACUUGAUGAGGUACAACAACUUCAUUGACUGGAAGGAAUUCCUUUUGGUCAAUGAAGUUGUU
rnacentral:miRNA from 1 species